rnacentral:rRNA from 1 species
UUAUUUGAGAGUUUGAUCCUGGCUCAGGAUGAACGCUGGCGGCGUGCCUAACACAUGCAAGUUGAGCGAUUUACUUCGGUAAAGAGCGGCGGACGGGUGAGUAACGCGUGGGUAACCUACCCUGUACACACGGAUAACAUACCGAAAGGUAUGCUAAUACGGGAUAACAUAUUUGAGAGGCAUCUCUUGAAUAUCAAAGGUGAGCCAGUACAGGAUGGACCCGCGUCUGAUUAGCUAGUUGGUAAGGUAACGGC